rnacentral:rRNA from 1 species
AGUGAACGCUGGCGGCAGGCCUAACACAUGCAAGUCGAACGGCAGCACAAGAGAGCUUGCUCUCUGGGUGGCGAGUGGCGGACGGGUGAGGAAUGCAUCGGAAUCUGCCCAUUUGUGGGGGAUAACCUCGGGAAACCGGGACUAAUACCGCAUACGACCUACGGGUGAAAGCAGGGGAUCUUCGGACCUUGCGCAGAUGGAUGAGCCGAUGCCGGAUUAGCUAGUUGGAGGGGUAAAGGCCCACCAAGGCGACGAUCCGUAGCUGGUCUGAGAGGAUGAUCAGCCACACUGGGGCUGAGACACGGCCCAGACUCCUACGGGAGGCAGCAGUGGGGAAUAUUGGACAAUGGGCGCAAGCCUGAUCCAGCCAUGCCGCGUGUGUGAAGAAGGCCUUCGGGUUGUAAAGCACUUUUGUUGGGAAAGAAAAGCAGCCGGUUAAUACCCGGUUGUCAUGACGGUACCCAAAGAAUAAGCACCGGCUAACUUCGUG